rnacentral:lncRNA from 1 species
AUAUACCGACCGUGUGUGUUUUGUACCGGUGGCGCGUGUGUAUUCAUCCGAUAUCCAUCCAUACGAAACGAAACCACCAAAAAAAGACAGCAAUGUGGCCAGCCACGGCUGCAAUUGAAAACUGCCACUACGUAUUUUUUUGAAGAAAAAAAACAAAAAGAAUCAAAAGGCCUGCCAAGAAUAUCCCAAAAGUGUUUAAGUGCAGCAUGUUCGGA